AGCAGCAUGGCGCAGCGGUAGCGCGCGGGGCCCAUAACCCCGAGGUCACUCGAUCGAUACGAGUUGCUGCUA
rnacentral:tRNA from 1 species